UUAUUAGUCGCUCCAUUAGACUAAUGGUUAGAGCGCCAGCCUCGGAUGCGGAAGGUUGCGGGUUCGAACCCCGCCCGUGUAAU